GGGGCUGUGGUUUAGUGGUAUAACGUCUUCUUAGCAUCUCUAGCACCUCCUGAAGGUGCUACAGUGUCUGGAGAAGGUCCGGCGUUCGAUUCGCCGCUGCUCCA